CAGUCGCCGCGGUAAUACGGAGGGUGCAAGCGUUAAUCGGAAUUACUGGGCGUAAAGCGCACGCAGGCGGUCUGACAAGUCAGAUGUGAAAUCCCCGGGCUUAACCUGGGAACUGCAUUUGAAACUGUCAAGCUGGAGUCUUGUAGAGGGGGGUGGAAUUCCAGGUGUAGCGGUGAAAUGCGUAGAGAUCUGGAGGAAUACCGGUGGCGAAGGCGGCCCCCUGGACAAAGACUGACGCUCAGGUGCGAAAGCGUGGGGAGCAAACAGGAUUAGAUACCCGAGUAGUCCCUGUCUCUUAUAC
rnacentral:rRNA from 1 species